AGAUUGAACGCUGGCGGCAUGCCUUACACAUGCAAGUCGAACGGCAGCACGGGAGCAAUCCUGGUGGCGAGUGGCGAACGGGUGAGUAAUAUAUCGGAACGUGCCCAGUAAUGGGGGAUAGCCCGGCGAAAGCCGGAUUAAUACCGCAUACGACCUAUGGGUGAAAGCGGGGGAUCGCAAGACCUCGCGUUAUUGGAGCGGCCGAUAUCAGAUUAGCUUGUUGGCGGGGUAAAAGCCCACAAGGCAAUGAUCUGUA
rnacentral:rRNA from 1 species